GAUGAACGCUGGCGGCAUGCCUAAUACAUGCAAGUCGAGCGAGGCUUCUUCGGAAGCCUAGCGGCGAACGGGUGAGUAACACGUGGGCAACCUGCCCUCAAGCCUGGGAUAACUCCGGGAAACCGGAGCUAAUACCAGAUAAUCCUUUUUCUCGCAUGAGAGAAAGGUAAAAGAAUUUCGCUUGGGGAUGGGCCCGCGGUGCAUUAGCUAGUUGGUAGAGUAAAAGCCUACCAAGGCGACGAUGCAUAGCCGACCUGAGAGGGUGGCCGGCCACACUGGGACUGAGACACGGCCCAGACUCCUACGGGAGGCAGCAGUAGGGAAUUUUCCGCAAUGGGCGAAAGCCUGACGGAGCAAUGCCGCGUGAGUGAAGACGGCCUUCGGGUUGUAAAGCUCUGUUCUUAGGGAAGAAAAAAAUGACGGUACCUAAGGAGAAAGCCCCGGCUAACUACGUGCCAGCAGCCGCGGUAAGAC
rnacentral:rRNA from 1 species